rnacentral:rRNA from 1 species
CCUACGGGUGACAGCAGUGGGGAAUAUUGGGCAAUGGGCGCAAGCCUGACCCAGCAACGCCGCGUGAAGGAAGAAGGCUUUCGGGUUGUAAACUUCUUUUCUCAGGGACGAAGCAAGUGACGGUACCUGAGGAAUAAGCCACGGCUAACUACGUGCAAGCAGCCGCGGUAAAACGUAGGUGGCAAGCGUUAUCCGGAUUUACUGGGUGUAAAGGGCGUGUAGGCGGGACUGCAAGUCAGAUGUGAAAACCACGGGCUCAACCUGUGGCCUGCAUUUGAAACUGUAGUUCUUGAGUGCUGGGGAGGCAGACGGAAUGCCUAGUGUAGCGGUGAAAUGCGUAGAUAUUAGGAGGAACACCAGUGGCGAAGGCGGUCUGCUGGACAGCAACUGACGCUGAGGUGCGAAAGCGUGGGGAGCAAACAGGAUUAGAUACCCUAGUAGUC